rnacentral:rRNA from 1 species
UAGCAGAGGUCUUCAAGCGUUUGUUCGGAUUCAUUGGGCGUAAAGGGUGCGUAGGCGGCGCGGAUAAGUCGGGUGUGAAAUCAUUGGAGCUUAACUCCGAAACUGCAUUCGAUACUGCCGUGCUUGAGGACUGGAGAGGAGACUAGGUAAUUUACGGUGUAGCGGUGAAAAUGCGUAGAUAUCAGGAGGAACACCUGUGGUGUAGACAGCUUACGUGGACCAUCACUGACGCUGGAGGUACGAAAGCGUGGGUAGCAAACAGG